UAGGGAAUCUUCGGCAAUGGACGGAAGUCUGACCGAGCAACGCCGCGUGAGUGAAGAAGGUUUUCGGAUCGUAAAGCUCUGUUGUAAGAGAAGAACGAGUGUGAGAGUGGAAAGUUCACACUGUGACGGUAUCUUACCAGAAAGGGACGGCUAACUACGUGCCAGCAGCCGCGGUGAUACGUAGGUCCCGAGCGUUGUCCGGAUUUAUUGGGCGUAAAGCGAGCGCAGGCGGUUAGAUAAGUCUGAAGUUAAAGGCUGUGGCUUAACCAUAGUACGCUUUGGAAACUGUUUAACUUGAGUGCAAGAGGGGAGAGUGGAAUUCCAUGUGUAGCGGUGAAAUGCGUAGAUAUAUGGAGGAACACCGGUGGCGAAAGCGGCUCUCUGGCUUGUAACUGACGCUGAGGCUCGAAAGCGUGGGGAGCAAACAGGAUUAGAUACCCUGGUAGUCCACGCCGUAAACGAUGAGUGCUAGGUGUUAGACCCUUUCCGGGGUUUAGUGCCGCAGCUAACGCAUUAAGCACUCCGCCUGGGGAGUACGACCGCAAGGUUG
rnacentral:rRNA from 1 species